UUUCCGUAGGUGAACCUGCGGAAGGAUCAUUAUUGUAUAACCGAGGUGCGAGGGCUGUCGCUGACCCGAAAGGUCGUGCACGCCCGUGUGCCCUCACACACAUCCAUCUCACCCCUAUGUGCACCACCGCGUGGGUCCCCCUUUGGCUUGUUCGGAGGGGGGCUUACGUUUUCACACAAACUUUGUAAGCAGUGUAGAAUGUAUUUUCUGUUUUUGCGAUCACGCAAUCAAUACAACUUUCAACAACGGAUCUCUUGGCUCUC
rnacentral:misc_RNA from 1 species